ACACAUUAGUCAGGAAAGGCAACUCAGUGAUCCCUUCAGCUCCAAUGAUGAACUUUGUGCGUGCCCAGAUCAAGAAAGCAGCUGAUGAGACCGAGACUAUUUUGGAAACAACCCCGGCUAGCAAAAGCGAUGGGGAAGGUGCACUUCGAGCAUUCAUUAAGCGCCAGGGCCAAAAGUUAAGGUGGCUAUCAAACCUUUUCGGUUGUCGUGACCCCGAG